UUAGAGAUUGCAACUGAUUUGUUUACUUGAAUGCCUUUAACCUCACGAAGCUGCUGUUGCUUUUAAUAGUAGUUUGUUGUUGCUAUUAUUAUUGUUUUCUGUAAAAAAAAAAAAUGUAACCAAACACAUGUAUUUAUUUAUGUAUUCUCAGAUCCAAUGGCGCGUUAUUAUUAUUGUUUAUUUUUAAACACUUCGCCAGUUUAGCAGCUCCAUACAUGGGGCCUGCAUACAAAUACACGUCUAUCCUCCCACCUUCAUCAUUCUCAACAAUUGAAUGAUAGAGCAUAGGCAUAGCGCGUAGCAGACUACAAAAGAGUUGUGGGGAACCCUCUCACUGUUUCUCCUUCCCCAACAGUCUUCGCCAUAAUUUGUCACAAAAGAAUGACUUUUUAUCGAACCAAACAUAUACAUACAAGGGAAGCAUAAAUAUAUAAAUUUUGGUGAAGCGUUAUUAUGUUCGGCUGAUAUUGGGUUGCGUUGCAAACGCGCACUAAUCACAAUGGAGGAGUUUGGAUAUCAUUAGAAUUAUUGAUUAUUGUAAUACAGAUAUUUGGUCGCAAGGCUUUUGUAUAACACUAAAAUAAAUAAAUAACGAAAAAAGAGGUGAUUCGAUUUUUAA